rnacentral:tRNA from 1 species
GCCAACGUAGCUCAGCUGGUAGAGCAGCUGAUUCGUAAUCAGCAGGUCCCCGGUUCGAGUCCGGGCGUUGGCUCCA